UAUGAAGCAUUGCAUUAUUUACUGUUGAUGAAGAUUGGACCAAGGAUGACCCCACUAGCCCUAGAGAUGUUGUGAGACCUGGCCGGGCCAGGCAUACAUAUACAGUUGUUGUAAGACCUGGCCGGGCCAGGCAUACGAAGGUUGUGAGACCCGGCCGGGCCGGGCAUACUGAGACUGGAAGGGAUGUUUUGGGGUUAGGUCCAAUCCGUGAU
rnacentral:lncRNA from 1 species